rnacentral:rRNA from 1 species
AAACUGUCUUAAUUAAUAAUUUUAAAAAUUACUUAUAGAGUGAAAAUUCUCUAACUAAAAAAGAAAGACGAGAAGACCCUUAGAGUUUUAAAUACCUUUUGUUAUCAAAUAAUAGUUUUUGUUGGGGCAACAAAGUAACAGAUGAAAUAAUCUACUUUAAUUAUAUAAUUAUGAGCCAAAUAUAUUAAGAAAAAUUAAGCUACCUAAGGGAUAACAGCAUAAUUAUUAAAAUUAGAUUGUGACCUCGAUGUUGGACUAG